rnacentral:lncRNA from 1 species
CUGCUAGAGACAUCUUCCGUGUGGUGUUACAUUCUUGACUCAGAUGCAUCCCCUUUCCACAGAAUAUGCACUGAGAGUUGUUUCUAUUAGCUUGAAUGACUGUUAGAGCGGCGGCCGUCGGCAAAGACGCUCUAACCUUGUUCUCUGGUCCUUCCUUGGUGUAUCUCCGUGCAUUGUCAGUCGCUUCAAAAGUUGUCUUGGCGAUAUGGAUUCGCUCUUCGCCUUCGACCUCAUCUCUCAAAAAGUCCAUGAGACGCUGUAACUCAUUCGACUUGGUAUCUUAUUGUGUUUCUUCUCUUUCAGAAUUAUUAUCGCUAAAAUUGUUUCCUGGAGUGGAUUCUGGAC